UAAAAAUAAACUAAAAUUGCAGUAUAGUAAAAUUAAACAUAAAAUCUAGGUUAUAUAUAUAUUGUAUAUAGAAAAUUAAAGAUUUAAUUAAAAGUUCAUUAAAAAUAAAAAUUGUAAAAAAAUGGUUUUUUAUUGUGAAAGAGUGUAUGAUAUAAGAGAAUAAAGAAUAAAAACUUAGAUAUUAUGUCUAGCACACCAGUGCCAUAGAUGGCAAGAUCCUCUGGGUCAUUAUCAUUAAGUAGAUUUACUGCUGCUCUGUCUUUCCAUCUCUAUGUUGUUCAUAAUAUGUUAUGGUAAAGUAUUGUAUGUAUGAUCCAUCACUACGUAAUGUAUUUAAAAGAGCUGCUAAAGAUGCACAUUGUAAUCUGAUUUGUAGAAGAAAAUCUAUUAUUUUUUUGGUGUUUAAAAAUGCUAUUAGCUCAAACAAGAUCUGGUAUCUACUCCAUUUCAGUCUACAACACAGACUGUACAUGAUUAGUUUGCCAACAAUAAUACAUAGGCAAAACUUAAUCAUGUACAGUCGGUUCUAAAAUGUAUUGCAGGUAGCAAGAAGCAGUUUGGUAUUUGUACAAAGCACGGA
rnacentral:lncRNA from 1 species